rnacentral:rRNA from 1 species
CGAGUGGCGAACGGGUGAGUAACGCGUGAGGAACCUGCCUCAAAGAGGGGGACAACAGUUGGAAACGACUGCUAAUACCGCAUAAGCCCACGGGUCGGCAUCGACCAGAGGGAAAAGGAGCAGUCCGCUUUGAGAUGGCCUCGCGUCCGAUUAGCUAGUUGGUGAGGUAAUGGCCCACCAAGGCAACGAUCGGUAGCCGGACUGAGAGGUUGAACGGCCACAUUGGGACUGAGACACGGCCCAGACUCCUACGGGAGGCAGCAUG